rnacentral:rRNA from 1 species
UACGGGGGGGGCAAGCGUUGUUCGGAAUUACUGGGCGUAAAGGGCUCGUAGGCGGCCAACUAAGUCAGACGUGAAAUCCCACGGCUUAACCGGGGAACUGCGUCUGAUACUGGAUGGCUUGAGUUUGGGAGAGGGAUGUGGAAUUCCAGGUGUAGCGGUGAAAUGCGUAGAUAUCUGGAGGAACACCGGUGGCGAAGGCGGCAUCCUGGACCAUCACUGACGCUGAGGAGCGAAAGCCAGGGGAGCAAACGGG